rnacentral:tRNA from 2 species
GCGGGUUUAGCUCAGUUGGGAGAGCGUCAGACUGAAGUCAAACUUCAAUCAUCUAUUCGAUAUCUGAAGGUCAUGUGUUCGAUCCACAUAAACCGCA